GGGAAUUGGCUCUCACUAGUUGGGAAUCGACUCUUCCGAUCCACUAUCAAGCAACGGCUCUUCUGCGCAUGACCCAUCACAAACAGAUGGAUACCCUCGCGCUCUCCUCCUUCUCGUUCUUCUUCUCCUAAGGCGCCGCUGCACGCGCCCCAGUGAUUGUUUUCCCCCAACGGCAGGAGAACGAGCGAGUUGUGACCGAGGAGUUAACCGUUAACGGACCGUUGACCGCCCAACGGAAAGAGGGAGGCGGAGGUUUGACGGCAGCUGAGCCCGGAGAGAAGCUCCAGAAGUCGGGAAGAAUCAGCCAGAGCGUCGGUGCGGUGCGGAGUAGGCACCUCCCUCUCUCUGGUGUCUCUGCAAGACGUCAUUACGCUCCUCUCAUGCUUACUGAGAAUGGAUGAUUCGCAGGACGGAGUUCAGAUUGGAGAGAACAAGUUCAUCAGCAAGUCAACAGUCCUCUCGCAUCUUAAAACAUACAACCUCUAUUAUGAGGGGCAGAAUCUGCAGCUACGACACAGAGAAGAAGAGGGGGAGCUGAUCGUUGAGGGCUUGCUGAAUAUCUUUUGGGGCCUGCGACGACCCAUCAGGCUUCAGAUGCAGGAUGACCACGAACGAGUCCGGCCGCCCCCCUCCUCCACGUCCUGGCACUCAGGAUGUAAUCUGGACAGUCAAGGAUCCCCCAACAGCACAGACGCUCAACAGACGACCGAGCACAGUCCACCCACAGUGGAGGUGACGCCACCUGAGUAUCAACCAGAGGACAACGGUGUGAUGGAAGAACAAGCAGAAGACGACAGCGAGAGCUCCGCUCAGCUCCUCAGGACGAAGAGUGAUGCUGGAGUUUUAAGACGAGGCCAGCGAAGGUCCCCGAGCGACCAGAGGAAGAUCAGACGCCAUCGAUUCUCCAUCAACGGACACUUCUACAACCACAAGACGGCAGUUUUCACGCCCGCUUACGGUUCGGUCACCAAUGUUCGGAUCAACAGCUGCAUGACCACACCUCAGGUGCUACGAGUUCUCCUCAACAAGUUUAAAAUUGAAAACAGCCCGGACGAUUUUGCGCUUUACCUCGUCCAUACAAGUGGAGAGCGCGUGAAACUGAAGCGGACCGACUUUCCUAUGGUGCUGAGAAUAAUGCAGGGUCCAUGUGAGCAGGUCUGCAAAGUUUUCCUCAUGGAAGAAGACCUGGGCGAAGAAGUCACAUAUGAUGUGGCGCAGUACAUAAAGUUUGAGAUGCCUGUCCUGCAGAGUUUCAUCACGAAGCUGAAGGAAGAAGAGGACAGAGAGGUGCAGAAACUCAAGAGAAGGUAUAAUUACCUGCGGUGUGUAAUUGAGAAACAGCUCAGUUGUCUUCCAGAGGGGCCGACGUGUAUGUGAUCAGCUCAUGGUGAGGAUUCCCAACACAACAAACUGUCAAAAUCAUUCCAGGGACAUUUCAACCUCCGAGCCGUGACCAAGAGUCCUCUGAUCAGAAUAUAACGUAGGACUUUCAGCAAUUAUCCUACUCCUCUGAAUUCCGUCCUUCACCAAAUCUAAUCAGCCGACCUACUGACAAAAAAAAACUUUGUCAUGUUAAAGCGUGGCCGUGUCGACUCCGGCGACCUCGCCCCAAACUUUUAAUCCUUGUCUGCUUUUCUUUCUGUUUUUUUUUUUUGUUACCACAUUACGACAUAAACCAUAUAUCGUACUGAUUUUAACCUUUUUGCAGAAUGAGCCUGAAAUGAAAAUGUCCUGUCUUCCCUCCAGAUAAUAUAUUCAGAAUCCAUUUAAAGCACAAACGUUGGGUGGUAUGGUUUUAAGUAAAGUGCCUGUUAGAAAACCCGCAAACGAUAUCAUCAAUUAUUCAGAAAAUAAUGCUGUGAGUAAAAUCAAAGCAAAUUCUGGGGAGUUUAACAUUACACAAAAAAAUAAAUAAAUAAAAGAGUUUGAUGGAUGCAAAACUGAACAGAAGACAAGCUCAUGUUCUCAAAAUAGCUGAUGCUAUUGAGUGUAUUAAUUACUGAUUAAUUAGCCGUCUUCAUUUUACUACAGCAGAUAAGUUCACUGUUGGGAUUAUUAAAGGUGAACACACCACAAAGUUUCCCAUCGCUCAUCGUAUCAUUUCAUAUUUGCCAGAUUAUUUUUCUUUCACAUCCAUCAGAGAAUAACAAAAAACGAAGCACAUGACUAAAGUGAAAUCCCACGAGACUGUGAAUUAACGCUGAUGAUCUUUUUGUGGCGAAUGUUUUAAAACGUAUGAAUGAGCCCUUCGGGGCAGAACAGUUUGCCUCCGCGUGUGCAGCACUUUUGCAAAAAGUCGACUCGAUAUUUCUGACUGUGUUGUUGAAGAUGUCGCCGCACAGUGUUCGCGUGACUUCGAGAGCGUGCAUGUUUUAUUUUUAGUGAAUCUUAAGACUUGCCUGCUUUUGUAUCGUGUCUUUUACAAAAAUAAUUUUUUGUCUUAAAAGUGUUACGAACUCAUGCCACUACUUGGAAAAUGUAGUUUGUUUGUUUUUUUUUUCUUACGAUGAUUGUUAUUUAAUAAUAAAAAAAAAAACUUGUCAUGGGAAAAGAUGUACAUACAAACCUGUAAAUCUCUGUCGUUUUUCUUCUGCUCAGUGUUACAUAAAUGAUGUUUAAAUCUUAAAAUGUGACCACACUUGGGUCAGAUUUUUCAGGAGAGAACUCAUCAACGUUCCAGCAGAUUCGCGUCAGUGCUGCGUUAAAUAACAUGGACAAAAUUAGAAAGACGAAUGUCCCCUCGCAGGUAUUUAUGUGUGAUGUCAGAAGCUUACGCUCAGCCAAGGAGCAUUAGUGGGACGGAGUGAUCCACUCUACCUGAUUCAGAUUGCCGGGAGGACAAGUGUCUGGACCUGCAACAUAUUUUCCUUCAGACCGUCUCAAGACUCUGAACUGCAAACACGCGCUGUCUGACUUUUCCUUUCAGAGGACGAACAUCAUCUCUACAUUCAUUCACAAGCAGCCACGCAACAGAUUAAAAAAUAAUGUUGGGCGUUCAGAAAGUUCCCGUCACAGUGGCCCUCAGUUUCCUUCUCCUCGCCACACUGUUGCCCAGCUCUGAGGCCCGCCGUGGAGGUGGUGGCUUCGGUCGAGGGGGAGGCAGAGGACUGGGAGGCGGAGGAGGCGGCGGCUUCAGACGUGGCUGGGGUGGGGGUCAGUCCUACAGACCGGCACCCGUCCAGAGCAGUGGACCCAGUGCAGGAAAAGUGGCCGGUGCUGCUGCUGCAGGAGCAAUAGGGGGAGCUGUGAUCGGGUCGGCCUUGAGCCGCCCUGGGUACGGAGGAUACGGAGGAUAUGGAGGAUAUGGAGGAUACGGAGGCUACGGAGGAUAUGGAGGAGGUUAUGGAGGAGGUUAUGGAGGAUAUCCACGAUAUGGAAUCGGUGGCGGUGGAGCCAGGGGCGGCUAUGAGCCAGAGGGAUCUGGAGAUAUGGAGUUUUACACCGGAGCCUCCAGUGGCCCCAUCUACAACAGCAUCAUUGUUGUCAUCGGCUCCCUGAUGUCUCUGCUCCUGGGCCACUGGGUGGCAGUCAUGUAGCACUGCACCAGCAAAAAAAAAAAAAAAAAAAAAAAAAGCCAAAAAAUAACCCACGAACUGACAGUUUUAAGUCAAGUUAGAACUCAAAUAAAUAAAAUGUCUGAAGAGAAACUUUCUAGAUGAUUUUUUUUGUUUUUUUCAACUCGUCAGUGACACUCCAUGAAGACAGGAGACAGAGUUGGACACAUCCGUCAGUCCACAGGUUCGGUGCUGAACAUGGAAACAAGACAAGAGGAAGACAGUUGUCUGAGUCAUCGGGUCAUUUGUGUCUCACUCUCCCUCUGUUUCUGCUUUUAACGUUGUGUUUUUAUAUUUGUCGUGAUGAUACCACUGAUGGGGAUGAGUCUGAUUUAGUAUGUUUUCUAGUAAAGGUAGAGCAGGAAUAGAUUAGAUGUGAUGAGCCUACCUCAAAGAAGUCACUGAGAGCAGCCAUACUCUUAAUAUAAUAAAAUAAUGCCACGUCUAACUUUAGACUCUUAUUUUGUCUGCUCUGUAUAUUAUAAAGUCUAUAUUUUAAGCAUAUUGUUUGUGUAUUUAGUUUUUUUUUUUUUAAUUUUGUAGAUUUUUACAUAAAUAUAUAAAUGAAUAUAUUGUAUAAAUAAUAAUAAAAAAACAUAAAAAC